GAAGUCUGAUGGAGCACGCCGCGUGAGUGAAGAAGGGUUUCGGCUCGUAAAACUCUGUUGUUAAAGAAGAACAUAUCUGAGAGUAACUGUUCAGGUAUUGACGGUAUUUAACCAGAAAGCCACGGCUAACUACGUGCCAGCAGCCGCGGUAAUACGUAGGUGGCAAGCGUUGUCCGGAUUUAUUGGGCGUAAAGCGAGCGCAGGCGGUUUUUUAAGUCUGAUGUGAAAGCCUUCGGCUCAACCGAAGAAGUGCAUCGGAAACUGGGAAACUUGAGUGCAGAAGAGGACAGUGGAACUCCAUGUGUAGCGGUGAAAUGCGUAGAUAUAUGGAAGAACACCAGUGGCGAAGGCGGCUGUCUGGUCUGUAACUGACGCUGAGGCUCGAAAGUAUGGGUAGCAAACAGGAUUAGAUACCCCAGUAGUCAA
rnacentral:rRNA from 1 species